UGCCGUGUGUGUGUGUGUGUGUGUGUGUCAGUGAUACUCUGUGUCAGUGAUGCUGAGUGUGUCAGUGAUACUCUGUGUCAGUGAUGCUGAGUGUGUGUGUGUGUGUGUCAGUGAUACUCUGUGUCAGUGAUGCUGAGUGUGUCAGUGAUACUCUGUGUCAGUGAUGCUGAGUGUGUCAGUGAUACUCUGUGUCAGUGAUGUUGUGCUGUGGGGUCUCUUACAGAAUCCGUGUCGAAGCCUCAUAUUACAUCAGUAGCUGAAGGGGGCAGAAGCUGCUCACUGCAGGGCUCUGUGCAGAAUGGGAGACAGGUCACCCUGUCCUGGAGGACAGAGGGACAGAGACUGUCCCACACCAGCAGCCUGAGUCUCAGCUCCCUGUCCCUCACUCUGGAGAUAGAGGUGUCCAACUUCACCUAUACCUGUGUGGCUAAAAACCCAGUCAGUGAGGAAAGAACAGCUUUCUACCCCACACAGGUCUGCAGGCCGAAGGGUCAUGGUUCCCAUGAUGCUCUGCUGUAUAUAAUGUUUGUGUUGAGGCUGGUGGAGUUUGUGUUGGUGACCCUGGCUGUCGGACUUUUAAUCCAUCAGUACAGAAAAGGAAGAAUUCUUACUUUGCCCAGCACUGAGAGGAGAAGACGAAGAAGAUCUUCUGAGACAGUUACAGAGCUGUAACACAAAUGUACACAUGCAGUCACCUUCAUAACUCACAAGUCAAUCAGAAAUGGUUUGGCACAUUGUUUGCAGCACUGAGAAAAGAGGCAGGAGGAGAUAUCAGGAGGCAGACACAUCACUGUAGACACAGGCACACACACACAUACACACACACACACAUUUACAUACAUAGGCACAUGCACACACACACCGGCACACACAUGCAUGUGCGCGUGCACACACACACAGGCACACAUGCACACAGACACACACACACUCACUCACACACGCUCGCACACACACACAAACACAUACAUACACAUGAAUGCCAAUUUUCCAUUUAACUUUUAAAAUUUGCUAUGAAUUAUGAGUACCUGUGUAUUGUACAGUAUGGCAGCUGACUGUGUAAUGUAGAAUGUAGUGAGUGAUGAUCCAGCCAAAUAAACAAGGGCAUGAUCUUUCUGCAAACAAACCAAACAAACCUGCAGUGCUUUCACCGAAAGCUUCUAUUUAUUUGGGAAAAAUGUGUAAAUGUUUUGUUAAAUGUAAAACUUCUGUACUUAAAGGAUUAAAUGGUAACAUACUGACA